rnacentral:rRNA from 1 species
GUGCCAGCAGCCGCGGUAAUACAGAGGGGGCAAGCGUUGUCCGGACUGACUGGGCGUAAAGCGCACGCAGGCGGUCGCGGGCGUCGGUGCUGAAAGUCCACCGCUUAACGGUGGAUCGCGUGCCGAUACGCCGCGACUGGAGCCAUGUAGAGGUCCGUGGAAUUGCCGGUGUAGUGGUGAUAUGCGUAGAUAUCGGCAGGAACACCCAAGGGGAAGCCAACGGACUGGGCAUGGGCUGACGCUCAUGUGCGACAGCGUGGGGAGCGAACUGGAUUAGAAACCCUUGUAGUCC